GAUGAACGCUGGCGGCGUGCCUAAUACAUGCGAGUCGAGCGAACGGACGAGAAGCUUGCUUCUCUGAUGUUAGCGGCGGACGGGUGAGUAACACGUGGAUAACCUACCUGUAAGACUGGGAUAACUUCGGGAAACCGUAGCUAAUACCGGAUAAUAUUUUGAACCGCAUGGUUCAAAAGUGAAAGACGGUCUUGCUGUCACUUAUAGAUGGAUCCGCGCUGCAUUAGCUAGUUGGUAAGGUAACGGCUUACCAAGGCAACGAUGCAUAGCCGACCUGAGAGGGUGAUCGGCCACACUGGAACUGAGACACGGUCCAGACUCCUACGGGAGGCAGCAGUAGGGAAUCUUCCGCAAUGGGCGAAAGCCUGACGGAGCAACGCCGCGUGAGUGAUGAAGGUCUUCGGAUCGUAAAACUCUGUUAUUAGGGAAGAACAUAUGUGUAAGUAACUGUGCACAUCUUGACGGUACCUAAUCAGAAAGCCACGGCUAACUACGUG
rnacentral:rRNA from 1 species